GCCGCAAUAGCUCAGUUGGUAGAGCAAAGGACUGAAAAUCCUUGUGUCCCUGGUUCGAUUCCGGGUUGCGGCA
rnacentral:tRNA from 1 species